rnacentral:snoRNA from 1 species
GUUCACAUUUCAUUGUCUUUUUUCCUUCACAUCAAGAGAAGAUAUAUUUGGUGUGCUAAACAGACCUUUGUAGGUAAAUUAGUAGCCUGGCCAAUUUAGCUGCUGCUGUCAGUCACCCUCAGACAAGU